rnacentral:rRNA from 1 species
CAUAUGCUUGUCUCAAAGAUUAAGCCAUGCAUGUCUAAGUAUAAAUAGUAUACAGUGAAACUGCGAAUGGCUCAUUAAAACAGUUAUAGUUUAUUUGAUAAUUGACAAUUACAUGGAUAACCGUGGUAAUUCUAGAGCUAAUACAUGCUUAAACGCCCGACUUUAUGGAAGGGUGGUAUUUAUUAGACUGAAGCCAAUAUUCCUUGUGUCUAUUGCGGUGAUUCAUAAUAACUGAUCGAAUCUCUUUUUGAGAUAAACCAUUCAAGUUUCUGCCCUAUCAGCUUUCGAUGGUAGUGUAUUGGACUACCAUGGCAGUAACGGGUAACGAAGAAUUAGGGUUCGAUUUCGGAGAGGGAGCAUGAGAAACGGCUACCACAUCUAAGGAAGGCAGCAGGCGUGUAAAUUACCCAAUCCUGACUCAGGGAGGUAGUGACAAGAAAUAGCAAACCGGGAACCUCAUGGUUUCACGGUAUUGCAAUGAGAGCAAUUUAAAACCCUUAGCGAGAAUCAAGUGGAGGACAAGUCUGGUGCCAGCACCCGCGGUAAUUCCAGCUCCACUAGCGUAUAUUAAAGUUGUUGCAGUUAAAAAGCUCGUAGUUGAACCUCUGUCUGGGGCUAGUUUUGGCUUUGGUCAGGCUAGUUCUAGGCAUCCGCCUACAAGACUUAGAGGGCAUUCAGUUGUUCACUAGGAGGAGUAGGCAUUUUACUUUGAAAAAAUUAGAGUGUUUAAGGCAGGCAAUCGCCCGCAUAUAUUAGCAUGGAAUAAUGGAAUAGGACACUUUUCCAUUUCGUUGGUUAUUGGAAUCGUGUAAUGAUUAAUAGGGACAGUUGUGGGCAUUUGUAUUUAAUUGUCAGAGGUGAAAUUCUUGGAUUUAUUAAAGACAAACUAACGCGAAAGCAUUUGCCAAGGAUGUUUUCAUUAAUCAAGAACGAAAGUUAGGGGAUCAAAGACGAUCAGAUACCGUCCUAGUCUUAACUAUAAACUAUUCCGACUCAAUGUUUGACUGGCUUAUAUAACCAGUUGAGCGUUGUAUGAGAAAUCAAAGUCUUUAGGUUCUGGGGGGAGUAUGGUUGCAAAGCUGAAACUUAAAGGAAUUGACGGAAGAGCACAACCAGGAGUGGAUUCUGCGGCUUAAUUUGACUCAACACGGGGAAACUUACCAGGUUAAGACAAUAGUGGGAUUGACAGUUUGAGAGCGCUUUCUUGAUUGGUUGGGUGGUGGUGCAUGGCCGUUCUUAGUUGGUGGAGUGAUUUGUCUGCUUAAUUGCGUUAACGAACGAGACCUUAACCUGCUUACUAGACUGGCGAC